UACGUAGGGGGCAAGCGUUAUCCGGAUUUAUUGGGCGUAAAGGGCGCGUAGGCGGCUCGGCACGUCCGUUGUGAAAUCGCCCGGCUCAACUGGGCGGGGUCAGCGGAUACGGCCGAGCUUGAGCAAGCUAGGGGGCAAUGGAAUUCCCGGUGUAGUGGUGGAAUGCGUAGAUAUCGGGAGGAACACCGGUGGCGAAGGCGGUUCUCUGGGCCUGUACUGACGCUGAGGAGCGAAAGCGUGGGGAGCGAACAGG
rnacentral:rRNA from 1 species